rnacentral:rRNA from 1 species
AUUGAACGCUGGCGGCAUGCCUUACACAUGCAAGUCGAACGGCAGCACGGGAGCAAUCCCGGUGGCGAGUGGCGAACGGGUGAGUAAAGUAUCGGAACGUGCCCAGUCGUGGGGGAUAACGUAGCGAAAGUUACGCUAAUACCGCAUACGAUCUAUGGAUGAAAGCGGGGGAUCGCAAGACCUCGCGCGAUUGGAGCGGCCGAUAUCAGAUUAGGUAGUUGGUGGGGUAAAGGCUCACCAAGCCGGCGAUCUGUAGCUGGUCUGAGAGGACGACCAGCCACACUGGGACUGAGACACGGCCCAGACUCCUACGGGAGGCAGCAGUGGGGAAUUUUGGACAAUGGGCGAAAGCCUGAUCCAGCCAUGCCGCGUGCAGGAUGAAGGCCUUCGGAUUGUAAACUGCUUUUGUACGGAACGAAAAGGUUUGGCCUAAUAAGCUGAGCUCAUGACGGUACCGUAAGAAUAAGCACCGGCUAACUACGUGCCAGCCGCCGCAGUAA